UGGGAGGCAGCAGUAAGGAAUUUUAGACAAUGGGCGAAAGCCUGAUCCAGCAAUGCCGCGUGCAGGAUGAAGGCCUUCGGGUUGUAAACUGCUUUUGUACGGAACGAAACGGUCUUUCCUAAUACGGAGGGCUAAUGACGGUACCGUAAGAAUAAGCACCGGCUAACUACGUGCCAGCAGCCGCGGUAAUACGUAGGGUGCGAGCGUUAAUCGGAAUUACUGGGCGUAAAGCGUGCGCAGGCGGUUUUGUAAGACAGAUGUGAAAUCCCCGGGCUCAACCUGGGACCUGCAUUUGUGACUGCAAGGCUAGAGUACGGUAGAGGGGGAUGGAAUUCCGCGUGUAGCAGUGAAAUGCGUAGAUAUGCGGAGGAACACCGAUGGCGAAGGCAAUCCCCUGGACCUGUACUGACGCUCAUGCACGAAAGCGUGGGGAGCAAACAGGAUUAGAUACCCUAGUAGUCC
rnacentral:rRNA from 1 species